AGUCUGGUGGUGUAGUGGUAACAUCAUCCAUCUUAUCUACACUCUUGAUAGUUGCUGGAUUCCAUGGAAGACGUGGGUCCAAAUCCCACCUAGGCCA